CAAAUGCAUGGGAUGAAGGCUUUUUGGCUCUGGUGGUAAACUACUCAAUAACUUCAACUUGUUAUAUGUUAUACACUCAAUUUUAAGUUUUGAAUGAAACAGUCAUGAGUUCUAGUAUUUGGAACUAAAGUGAUAAAACGCAUUCUAAGUAGCAACCAAGCAAAGAAUAAUGAGAUCAUGCAACAACUUUAGAAAGCAAGAAAUCACAGAUUAAUAACUCUCCAAACAAAGUUUAGGCUCAAGUCUCUU
rnacentral:lncRNA from 1 species